rnacentral:rRNA from 1 species
UGGGCCUACGGGGCGCAGCAGUGGGGAAUAUUGCACAAUGGGGGAAACCCUGAUGCAGCGACGCCGCGUGAGUGAAGAAGUAUUUCGGUAUGUAAAGCUCUAUCAGCAGGGAAGAAAAUGACGGUACCUGACUAAGAAGCCCCGGCUAACUACGUGCCAGCAGCCGCGGUAAUACGUAGGGGGCAAGCGUUAUCCGGAUUUACUGGGUGUAAGGGGAGCGUAGACGGCGCGGCAAGUCUGAAGUGAAAGGCAGGGGCUUAACCCCUGAACUGCUUUGGAAACUGCACUG